rnacentral:lncRNA from 1 species
AUAUGAUCAAGGCCAUUUUUGAGAACCCUUCUCUAGCCAAAUUUUCACCCAAAGUGCUUGAAAAUAUUAUACCCUUUUUGAACCUUAGCCUUAACAGGAUGUGAACCCUUGUUUUUCCAUUUUUUACCUUGAGUUGGGGUUGUGUGGGGGAAAUUGAAAGGCAAAUGAAAAGCAUUGAGCUCAAAUGUUGUGAAAAGAAAAAUUCGUCAGAAAAAGAAAAGAAAAGAAGAAAAGCAUGAAAAGUGAGCUCAAUGUAAAAGAAAAGGGAAAAAGUUGAGAAUGAGAGAGAUUGGUGAGGGAGAGAGUUGUGCUUUAAUGUUGAAUAUUAUGAUAGCUCUCUUGACUCAAGGACUUUGCAUUCCGAAAAAAACCAAUGUUUCUUGUUAGCCCAACCACAUUACAAGCCUUGGGGAAAAGUCCUUUUGAUGGAAUUUGCAUGUAAAGAUGUUGAUUGUUUGAGAUGAAUGGAAAUUUUGUUUCAUGUGACUUGUGAAUAAUAGAGAGUUGGAGUGUCACCUUAAACACUUGAGUGAUUGAGUGAAACACUUGCUUGGUAU